rnacentral:rRNA from 1 species
GCAAGUCGAGCGGAAACGAAGGGAGCUUGCUCCCAGGCGUCGAGCGGCGGACGGGUGAGUAACGCGUAGGAAUCUACCCAGUAGCGGGGGAUAGCCCGGGGAAACCCGGAUUAAUACCGCAUAAGCCUUACGGGGGAAAGGCCGGGAUCUUCGGACCGGUCACUAUUGGAGGAGCCUGCGUUGGAUUAGCUAGUUGGUGAGGUAAAAGCUCACCAAGGCGACGAUCCAUAGCUGGUCUGAGAGGACGAUC